CCUACGGGUGGCAGCAGUGAGGAAUAUUGGUCAAUGGCCGUAGGGCUGAACCAGCCAAGUAGCGUGCAGGAUGACGGUCCUAUGGAUUGUAAACUUCUUUUAUCAGGGAGUAAAGUGCGUCACGUGUGGCGCUUUGUGAGUACCUGAUGAAAAAGCACCGGCUAAUUCCGUGCCAGCAGCCGCGGUAAUACGGAGGAUGCGAGCGUUAUCCGGAUUUAUUGGGUUUAAAGGGGGCGAAGGCGGAAUGUUAAGCGAGCGGUAAAAUGCCGGGGCUCAACCCCGGCGUGUGGUUGAAACUGGCGUUCUUGAGUGAGCGGAAAGUAUGCGGAAUGCGUGGUGUAGCGGUGAAAUGCAUAGAUAUCACGCAGAACUCCGAUUGCGAAGGCAGCAUACCGGCGCUCUACUGACGCUGAUGCUCGAAGGCGUGGGUAUCGAACAGGAUUAGAUACCCUGGUAGUC
rnacentral:rRNA from 1 species